rnacentral:rRNA from 1 species
UACAGAGGUCUCAAGCGUUGUUCGGAAUCACUGGGCGUAAAGGGUGCGUAGGCCGCACGGUAAGUCAGAGGUGAAAUCCCGGAGCUCAACUUCGGAAUUGCCUCCGAUACUGCCGUGCUUGAGGACUGGAGAGGAGAUUGGAAUUCACAGUGGAGCAGUGAAAUGCGUAGAUAUUGUGAGGAACACUAGUGGCGAAGGCGGCUCACUGGUCCAUUACUGACGCUGAGGUGCGAAAGCGUGGGGAGCAAACAGG